UACGUAGGGUGCGAGCGUUGUCCGGAAUUAUUGGGCGUAAAGGGCUCGUAGGCGGUCUGUCGCGUCGGGAGUGAAAACUCAGGGCUUAACCCUGAGCCUGCUUCCGAUACGGGCAGACUAGAGGUAUGCAGGGGAGAACGGAAUUCCCGGUGUAGUGGUGAAAUGCGUAGAUAUCGGGAGGAACACCAGUGGCGAAGGCGACUACCUGGCCUGUUCUUGACGCUGAGGCGCGAAAGCUAGGGGAGCAAACGGGG
rnacentral:rRNA from 1 species